AGCUUCCCAGAUGCGCCCGGAUUUCCCACGGGUUUCCCCGCCUGCUGCAAAUAGUGACAAAAGCUGGCACUCUCAGAGCGCUCACUAUAUGUUCGGCACUUCGCCGGCAUCCUGUCUUGUUAUCUCCAUCAAAGCUCUGAAGCAGGCGGUAUUAUUACCUCCAUUCAAAGACAAGGAAUCUGAGGCUCAGAGAUGCCAAGAGAUUUGCUCAAGGUCACACAGCUACUGAAUGGAAGCUUGAUAAGCAGGCAUACUCUAGACUGAAGACUCACGAACUCUUUUCUGAAGAAACUGAGCACACUCAAGGGAAAGACCUAUAGAUACAUACAUGAUAUGGAUACAGACCCCCAGAAGAAGAGCCAGCUCACGACCAGCCACGCUCUACAGGAAUGUCCGCUGACAAGAUCCACCCAUGCAUGCUGACCAUCCAAUCAUCUGUACAGCACAUAGUUCCUAAAUAUGAUCAGAGAGCCAAGAUCCCCAGACAUUUAAUGAAAGCCUCAGACAUGAAAGGUAGGUGUAGGGGAGGGAGGAAGAAUGCAUGCUUAGAGAGGAGAAGAAAGCUUUACAAAUGCUAUGAAAUAUUCAGGGAGAGAAAAUGAGAUUUCUAUUUCAAGACUCACUUUCAUGAAAUGUCAAAACACCGGGGAUAAAGAAAAGGCUCCAAAAGAACUCAGAAAGGAAAUACAGGUCAGUUGAAAGGAUCAGGGAUGAGAACAACACCAGACCUCUCAGUAGCAACACUGGAAGCUGGAGGAUAAUGGAGUCACAGAUUCAGAAUUCUGAAUGAGAAUUAUUUUAGCUUAGAAAUCUAAACUCAAACCAUUAAGAGAAAUGGUAGAACAAAAAAUACUUGAAAACAUGGAAGAUCACAAAUCAUUUGCCUCUCAUGCUCCCUUUCUCAGGAAGCUCUCCACCCAAAGAAGAGAAGAAUGAAAUACUUUAUAGUCUCUCACCCAAAUAAGAGAACAAUCCAAGAAUGAGCAAGACAUACCCAGGAGAGGGCAGAGGCAUUCUCAGGAUGAUGGUGAAGGAUAUCUGGUGCCAGAUGGGCCAGAUGGAUUACCUAAUAGGUAUGAAUAGGUGGGAAAUUAUGUUCAGG
ensembl:lncRNA